rfam:Rattus norvegicus chromosome 14, whole genome shotgun sequence.
GGGGAUUUAGCUCAGUGGUAGAGCGCUUGCCUAGCACACAAGGCCCUGGGUUCAGUCCCCA